CCUACGGGAGGCAGCAGUGGGGAAUAUUGCACAAUGGGGGAAACCCUGAUGCAGCGACGCCGCGUGAGUGAAGAAGUAAUUCGUUAUGUAAAGCUCUAUCAGCAGGGGAGAAAAUGACGGUACCUGAGUAAGAAGCCCCGGCUAACUACGUGCCAGCAGCCGCGGUAAUACGUAGGGGGCAAGCGUUAUCCGGAUUUACUGGGUGUAAAGGGAGCGUAGACGGCAGUGCAAGUCUGGAGUGAAAGGCGGGGGCUCAACCCCCGGACUGCUCUGGAAACUGGACGGCUGGAGUGCAGGAGAGGUAAGUGGAAGGCGUGGUGUAGCGGUGAAAUGCGGAGAUAUUAGGAGGAACACCAGUGGCGAAGGCAGCUUACUGGACUGUAACUGACGUUGAGGCUCGAAAGCGUGGGGAGCAAACAGGAUUAGAUACCCGAGUAGUC
rnacentral:rRNA from 1 species